GGGGCUGAUUCAGGAUUCGACGAGAUUCUCGAACUCCAAGGUGCAUGCCGAGGUGCGAUAGGCCUCGUUAAACAAUCGCAAAAAAAUAGUCGCAAACGACGAAAACUACGCACUCGCAGCUUAAUAACCUGUAGAGAGCCCUUCUGCCCUAGCUUGCCUGUGACUUAGGGAAUCGGAAGGUCAUCCUUCACAGGAUCGCGUGGAUGCCGUGCCUGACGGUUGAAGCGUUAAAACCAAUUCAGGAUAGUCUGUCUGUGGCGUGUCAGUCCGCAGCAGCUGGCGAAUUUAAUGACUGACUAAGCAUGUAGUACCGACGACGUAGGUUUUUCGGACGCGGGUUCAACUCCCGCCAGCUCCACCA
rfam:Oceanimonas sp. GK1, complete genome.